UACGUAGGGUGCGAGCGUUGUCCGGAAUUAUUGGGCGUAGAGAGCUUGUAGGCGGUUUGUCGCGUCUGCUGUGAAAAUCCGGGGCUCAACCCCGGACUUGCAGUGGGUACGGGCAGGCUAGAGUGUGGUAGGGGAGACUGGAAUUCCUGGUGUAGCGGUGAAAUGCGCAGAUAUCAGGAGGAACACCGAUGGCGAAGGCAGGUCUCUGGGCCACUACUGACGCUGAGAAGCGAAAGCAUGGGGAGCGAACAGG
rnacentral:rRNA from 1 species